rnacentral:rRNA from 1 species
GACAGAGGUGCCGAGCGUUAGGCGGAAUCACUGGGCUUAAAGCGUGUGUAGGCGGGCGGGCAAGUACCUUGUGAAAUCCCACGGCUCAACCGUGGAACUGCUGGGUAUACUGCCUGUCUUGAGCCAGCUAGGGGCGAGCGGAACAGACGGUGGAGCGGUGAAAUGCGUAGAUAUCGUCUGGAACGCCGAAGGUGAAAACAGCUCGCUGGGGCUGUGCUGACGCUCAGACACGAAAGCCAGGGGAGCGAACGGG